rnacentral:lncRNA from 1 species
CAAAAUCGAAUCUCCUAAAAAAACAAACACAACAAUAGUACACCUUUCUAUCAAAGCAUGUGAACCAUUCAACAAUCUGGCUACCCACAUGCUCUCCCUCUUUGACAUAAAUAAAUCUACUAAAUUAACCAACUUUCCUAACAUGCAAAUUAAAUCCAAAAAGAAGAAAAGCAUCGUGUGAGAUUUCAUUACCUUCAACCUUCUUUUCACAAGUCACUUACUUUUUUUUCUAAUGCAACAACUUUCACCCAUUUUUGCUCAUUAUAUUUAGUGCCUUUUCAUUUAUGUUAUUUUGUAUUUAUCAAGUAGAAGAAAGUUUUUAAAUGUAUUAAAACAUAUGGGGUCUCAUUGUCAUCUUCUUUUUAUAUGAUUUUGCUUUGUUAAUUAGUAUAUCAAAUUAAGGAAAACGAUUGAGACUCGUCAUGCUUUUUGGUUUAGCAUAAUAUUGCAUGUGUUUGAUUGCUAUUGGUUACUAUUUUUUUAAUGAAAAAUAAAGAAUCAUUAUACCAAUUAUUUUUUUCAUGAUUUGGAGCACAAAGUCUAUAGGCUUCUCGAAGGGAAUAACUAUAAAUAAAUAGAAAAUUUGACAUAUUUAUUUUGCUUUCAUCCAUUUGAUACCUACCAAAAUAUUGUCCGUUCAUUUUUAUUUUUUUUAGUGUGGAGAAAUAUUCUUUCCAUUUGAAUGCAGGCAAUUAAGAGUUGGAAUACAAGCUGUUAACUAAAGAAAGAAAAAGAUAUAUGGAUACUCACUUAAAAAAGAUGGGUGGAUAAGAUUUUUAUUCUUAUCACACAUUAACUAAAAUGAAGAUUACUCUAAACCACUAAUAGUUUAAGUUUUAUUAAAAAGUUUUAAAUUAUUCUCCCAAACUUGUUGUCAACCCUCAAUUUAGUUGAUUUGUAUUCCUUCUUUUUUGCGCACUUGGUGGUGGCUACACAUUCAGUCUUAUGGUCAAUCUAAGGUUACCAUUAUGCAUGUAUCUAAUUAUCAUAAAAGUAAAAUAAAUGGCCACUUGUUUUACUGGUUGGUUACUCCUCAAUGUGGAAUUAAAAAUACACAUUGUUGAGGGAGCUCUUUCAACGUGGCAGCCAGAUUUUUUUUUAUAUUCUAAUAUUUAAGUCAACGAAAUUUAUAGAUAUUUAGUUUGAGAGUGAGAAUGUGAUAAUAUCUUAAAUGAUGCGUCGUUAGACUUAUAUAUGGAAGACGGUUAAAAUUACUUCUGUCUAACCUGACGUGAGACACGAUGAGUCGUCCGAUCAGAUCCAAUGACAAAUGAAACAUUAGGAGUUGAGAUUAAGUGUCUGGCUUUUGGCAAGGUCCCACUUAUUUUUUUAAUCGCUUAAUGGACUCUACAGAUUGUGCCUCAUAAUUAGGCCUUCUUUUUUAGGAUUUUGGCUAAUCUGAAACAUUUUCCCUAAGUCCUUGCGUGAGGAUUGACAUUGUCGGACCUCCCUUUGAUGUCAUCAUAUUAUGUCUUGGUUAGCCAUGGAUUCGUGGAAGAUGAAGAGUUCUAUAAGUUAGAAUAGGUGGUCUCGAGAACACUCGUAUUAAAUGUUUGUAUCAAAAAGUGAAGUCAGACCUAGGCAGGUCGGAUCUCGACGGAAGCUCGUCGAUGACCUCGACAAACAUGUCUUUGUUGUCUUGGUAUGUCAGGAUGACAAGAGAACUUUGAUUUUCGUCUUUGAAGAAAUGGUUAAAAUUUUCAUAAAGUUUUUAUAACUAUAAAAUUAUAAUUAUAAUUUUUAAAUAAAAAUAACUUUAUUUUCUCUUAUCUUAUAAUAGAAAUUAUCUCAUACUUAAAUACAUAUACUUAUGUAUAAAACGCUUAAUCAAAUCAUUUACGUAAACAACUAAAUUAAACUUUCUUUCUAGCUAAGCAACUUCUUCAAUCACGAUUCAUAAUAAAAGAUACCAACCUAUAGAUCGCAUUGUAUCUAUUUUAAAUCAAUUAUAAGAAUGUUUAUUUUUUAGAACAAUUAUUUAGUAUUUAUCAAUCUUGUUGAGCACUACUCUCUGCAUAAAAUUAUUUGAGCGUUCAUAUUUUAAUUUUAAUUAUUGCCUAUGUAUUUUUUUACAGAAAUUAUUGCCUAAAAUUACUACAUGGAAAUUCUCUUUCACUCUAUUGCUGGUAAAGUAAUUAGUUGAUUUCCAUUCUUUUUUUUUGCGCACUGUAAUGGUGGCUACACAUUCAGUCUUAGGGUCAAUCUAAGGUUACCAUUGUGCAUGUAUUUAGUUAUCAUGAAAGUAAAAUAAAUGGCCACUUUUUUUUUAUCUGGUUGGUUACAACUUACAAGUAACUUUUAGAGAUUAAAUAUUAUCAUCAUGUUAUAAGUCAAAAAAGUUGUUAAAUGCAUUUUACAUCAUUGUUGAUUUUAAACAUUUUAGUGUGACAUUUAUUACAAAGACAACCCUAGAGUGCUCACUGAUAUUGUUUUUUAAAAAAGAAGAUAACCCAAAAGUCCUUCCAUUAUAAUGUUUUGUUAUACGUGGGAAAAAGAUUAUGCGUUCAGACAAAGAUAGUGAUUGAAAGUCUUUAAAUAGAAUCUCUUCAUUAUUAUCUUCUGUUUGUUUUCACUAUUUAAGACGUAGAAGUACAGAUUUUGUCAUUGAAAAAGACAAAAAAAUGUAGUUUUUUUGUCAAAUAAAAAUGAAUAAGUAUAAAUUCAGGCUCUAUUAAUUCGGAUAUCAAUUUGUUGAUAUUUAAAAUUAUUUUUUGAGACCAGUCAAAAUAUUAUUUUAUUAUUACUUUUUGAUUUUACAAUAUAUUAUUAGUGUUAUUUUUUGACAAAAUAUUGUAUAUACAAACUUUUUGUAAUGAUUAUUUAUUAUAAGUAGAAAGUUUUGAUUUAAAAAAUCUUCUCCUUCUUCAUUUUUGUUAUUUAUUUAUUGUCUUUUUAUAAUAUUAAAGAAAGAAGUAUAGUUUCAAAAGAAUAGAUUGUACUAUUUUUAUUUGUAAUGAGAAGUUUAACUAUUUUAAAUCUAUCUUUUUUUAUAUUUUAUCAUAUUUCUAAUACAACUCUUUCAAAUGAUUCUAGAUGAUGACAUUCAAUCAAAGAAUAAUUAUCUCAAGCCUCGUCAGUCAAAGAUAUCAAGUUUCAGUCAAAGUGUUAGACAUUGAUGAAUCAAGCAAAGGAAUUUGUAGACAUGGAGUUGUGAUUUUGAAGCUCGAAGGCUUGAAAGUGUGAAAGUGUGAAAACUUGUUUGAUCUAGCACUUAGAGUUUUUCUUAGUCUUGAUCAAUUUAUUGUAAAAUAAACAAGAGGAAAUCUUACUAAGAUAAUCACACACACAUAAAAAAACGAUCUUCAAAACUCUUCUCUUUUGUUAAAACCUCUUCAAAUCAAUUAGGGCAACCACUUAAUUGAUUGAACGCUUACUUAAUCAAUUAGAAAUGUUAAAAUACAUUGCCU